UCNNNNNNNNNNNNNNNNNNNNGACGAAAAAUGAAUACCAAGUCUCAAGAGUGAACACGUAAUUCAUUACGAAGUUUAAUUCAUUGAGCAUCAAACUUUUAAAUUGAAGAGUUUGAUCAUGGCUCAGAUUGAACGCUGGCGGCAGGCCUAACACAUGCAAGUCGAACGGUAACAGGAAGCAGCUUGCUGCUUUGCUGACGAGUGGCGGACGGGUGAGUAAUGUCUGGGAAACUGCCUGAUGGAGGGGGAUAACUACUGGAAACGGUGGCUAAUACCGCAUAACGUCGCAAGACCAAAGAGGGGGACCUUCGGGCCUCUUGCCAUCAGAUGUGCCCAGAUGGGAUUAGCUUGUUGGUGAGGUAACGGCUCACCAAGGCGACGAUCCCUAGCUGGUCUGAGAGGAUGACCAGCCACACUGGAACUGAGACACGGUCCAGACUCCUACGGGAGGCAGCAGUGGGGAAUAUUGCACAAUGGGCGCAAGCCUGAUGCAGCCAUGCCGCGUGUAUGAAGAAGGCCUUCGGGUUGUAAAGUACUUUCAGCGGGGAGGAAGGUGUUGUGGUUAAUAACCGCAGCAAUUGACGUUACCCGCAGAAGAAGCACCGGCUAACUCCGUGCCAGCAGCCGCGGUAAUACGGAGGGUGCAAGCGUUAAUCGGAAUUACUGGGCGUAAAGCGCACGCAGGCGGUCUGUCAAGUCGGAUGUGAAAUCCCCGGGCUCAACCUGGGAACUGCAUUCGAAACUGGCAGGCUUGAGUCUUGUAGAGGGGGGUAGAAUUCCAGGNNNNNNNNNNNNNNNNNNNNAGAAUUCCAGGUGUAGCGGUGAAAUGCGUAGAGAUCUGGAGGAAUACCGGUGGCGAAGGCGGCCCCCUGGACAAAGACUGACGCUCAGGUGCGAAAGCGUGGGGAGCAAACAGGAUUAGAUACCCUGGUAGUCCACGCCGUAAACGAUGUCUACUUGGAGGUUGUGCCCUUGAGGCGUGGCUUCCGGAGCUAACGCGUUAAGUAGACCGCCUGGGGAGUACGGCCGCAAGGUUAAAACUCAAAUGAAUUGACGGGGGCCCGCACAAGCGGUGGAGCAUGUGGUUUAAUUCGAUGCAACGCGAAGAACCUUACCUGGUCUUGACAUCCACGGAAGUUUUCAGAGAUGAGAAUGUGCCUUCGGGAACCGUGAGACAGGUGCUGCAUGGCUGUCGUCAGCUCGUGUUGUGAAAUGUUGGGUUAAGUCCCGCAACGAGCGCAACCCUUAUCCUUUGUUGCCAGCGGUCCGGCCGGGAACUCAAAGGAGACUGCCAGUGAUAAACUGGAGGAAGGUGGGGAUGACGUCAAGUCAUCAUGGCCCUUACGACCAGGGCUACACACGUGCUACAAUGGCGCAUACAAAGAGAAGCGACCUCGCGAGAGCAAGCGGACCUCAUAAAGUGCGUCGUAGUCCGGAUUGGAGUCUGCAACUCGACUCCAUGAAGUCGGAAUCGCUAGUAAUCGUGGAUCAGAAUGCCACGGUGAAUACGUUCCCGGGCCUUGUACACACCGCCCGUCACACCAUGGGAGUGGGUUGCAAAAGAAGUAGGUAGCUUAACCUUCGGGAGGGCGCUUACCACUUUGUGAUUCAUGACUGGGGUGAAGUCGUAACAAGGUAACCGUAGGGGAACCUGCGGUUGGAUCACCUCCUUACCUUAAAGAAGCGUACUUUGCAGUGCUCACACAGAUUGUCUGAUGAAAA
rnacentral:rRNA from 1 species